rnacentral:rRNA from 1 species
AUUGAACGCUGGCGGCAUGCCUUACACAUGCAAGUCGAACGGUAACAGGUCUUCGGAUGCUGACGAGUGGCGAACGGGUGAGUAAUACAUCGGAACGUGCCUAGUAGUGGGGGAUAACUACUCGAAAGAGUGGCUAAUACCGCAUGAGAUCUACGGAUGAAAGCAGGGGAUCGCAAGACCUUGUGCUACUAGAGCGGCCGAUGGCAGAUUAGGUAGUUGGUGGGAUAAAAGCUUACCAAGCCGACGAUCUGUAGCUGGUCUGAGAGGACGAUCAGCCACACUGGGACUGGGACACGGCCCAGACGCCUACGGGAGGCAGCAGUGGGGAAUUUUGGACAAUGGGCGCAAGCCUGAUCCAGCAAUGCCGCGUGCAGGAUGAAGGCCUUCGGGUUGUAAACUGCUUUUGUACGGAACGAAAAGCCCUGGGUUAAUACCCUGGGGUCAUGACGGUACCGUAAGAAUAAGCACCGGCUAACUACGUGCCAGCAGCCGCCGUAAGAC